UACGGAAGGCAGCAGUGGGGAAUAUUGCACAAUGGGCGCAAGCCUGAUGCAGCCAUGCCGCGUGUAUGAAGAAGGCCUUCGGGUUGUAAAGUACUUUCAGUCGUGAGGAAGGUGUUAAGGUUAAUAACCUUAGCAAUUGACGUUAGCGACAGAAGAAGCACCGGCUAACUCCGUGCCAGCAGCCGCGGUAAUACGGAGGGUGCGAGCGUUAAUCGGAAUUACUGGGCGUAAAGGGCACGCAGGCGGUUAAUUAAGUUGGAUGUGAAAUCCCCGGGCUUAACCUGGGAAUGGCAUUCAAGACUGGUUAGCUAGAGUCUUGUAGGGGGGUAGAAUUCCAUGUGUAGCGGUGAAAUGCGUAGAGAUGUGGAGGAAUACCGGUGGCGAAGGCGGCCCCUGGACAAAGACUGACGCUCAUGUGCGAAAGCGUGGGGAGCAAACAGGGAUUAGAUACC
rnacentral:rRNA from 1 species